GGAGACUGUAGCUCACUGGAAGGGCAUCUGCUUUGCAUGCAGAAGGUCCCAGGUUCUAUCCCUAGCAUCUGCA